rnacentral:lncRNA from 1 species
CGUCCUCCCCAUGAGCCACCUUAUUCCAAUUAUCCCACAAUUUCCACAUAACAACUACAGACAAAUGGAAAAUACCUGGCGAGAGUCGUUGGUGAAGAUGCUCGAUCCAGGCCCAAGUCGACGGUGGUUGAUCAUCAAUAAUAGUAUCGAAGGGAUGGGAAUUCCAAACCUGACUUGAGUUGCCGCAUUUAGUUAUAACAUGAAGAAAAGUUUCGUAGUUGGUUCCACAACGUCGGCAACUAGGAUUGACAACAAUCGUUCGGCGGAAAAGCUCUGAUUGAGUUGGCAAUAUGUUCUAGCAUGCUCGCCACAAAAAGACCUUUAUCUUAGGUGGAAUAGGGAGAUUCCACACCAACUUCCAGUUUCUCUUUACCACUCUGCUGCCAGAUCCAACCUGA